rnacentral:lncRNA from 1 species
UAUGCAUACGGAGGCGUAUGUCACCGGCGGCAACAGCGACGGCGCGGAUAGCAAGAAGAAACUGCCGCGCCGCCGCCACCACCGCGGUGAUGUUCUGAGGCGCAUUUUACGCGCCUUUUGCUGCUGGAACGCUUCGGGGAGCGAGUGAGCCACCGUAUGUACUACUCGUAUUCUAAUUAUCACCACAUGAUGUAAGAGCAAGAAACUUCCCAUAAAAAAUAAGAAUGCCCCAUGUAAUACCCUAUGAUUUUGUACUCAAGAACUUGUACUGGUAGUUCUCCUGAUGUUUGCCCUAUGUUAAAUCCUCAAAGGUAUAUUAUUUGUGUGACUUGUGUUUGUAUUUUUUUUUCCGGGGGACUUGUUGUGGCGUCUGACGGCAUCUAAAAGACCGCAGCAUAUUCUUGUGUGAUCAUCUUUAUAUAUCGCUUUAAUUUGAUAGAACUAUUUACUUCUUUUGCCUUAAAGUUUUUUGUGUAGAUGCUCUGUUUGUUUUACAAGGGUUUAUUCAAAGGAAGUAAUCGCUUUUUUACCAGAAAAAAAGUAAAGUGCUUUUGGUAGUAUCAAUCAGUGGAUAGUGUUGCAUAUCGGUAGCUUUCUAUUUCAGGAGAUCCAUGCGGGGUAGCUUUUGCUUUAGUGAAGAGUCAGUUGGACUAUUCAAUUUUAUUGGGCUGAGGAAGCAUUUACCUGAAUAGGCCCUAGAAAAUAUCGAAAACACUAUGUUGAUACUCUUUGCAUUCCUCAAAAAAAAAGUCUAUACUCUUUGCAAAGCUCACUCUGGCCUCCUCUGGUGGUGAAAAGUGGUGCGCUGCAUGUGCGACUGUCACAACCGAAUAGUUUUACGCUUUUCCAUAAAAAAAUUUAAUAUCUCUCAAACCGUGUGCCCAAAUAACGCACCGUUUUCACCGUUACGUUUCUCGCAUCGGGAUCUUCAAAAUAAGACCUCAUGUUAAUAUGUUUGGAUAAACUUCUUAUAAAAGAAAUCCGAAAACAAAAAAGGGGGAAAUCAAAAAUAAAACUGAAACCAAAAACGAAAUGAAAAACUUGAAGCACUUUUUGUGCUUUUUUACUUUUCAGAAAGCACAAUCGUCCUUCACGUGGAAGCACGUGCUUUUCACUUUUUUGGGGGGAAGCACAACUAUGCUACACGCGCAAGCACAACUGUGUUUCACUGUGAAGCACAAUUUUGCAUUUCACUUUUCGAGAAGCGCAGUUGUGUUUCAGUGAACCAUAACUAUCGUUGGGCCUCGUGGGCUCCUAGGCAGGUCUUCUGCCUGACUCCCCUCGGUGAGCCACCUCCGGUGUAUGACACCGCCACCACGUCUAGCGAGGAAGAGUAAGACAUGGGACACAGACGUGCCCACACCUGUAUCUCAUGUCCUACUCUUCCUCGCGGGAGUUCGCCACCUGGCUUGGGGCAUCGCUAAUCGAGGUGAGGUCCACGAUCGACGUGGAUGGGUCGGCCUCGUGGUCGUUGCUGCCCGGCAAGAAUCGCGCGGGCGACGCGAAGGACACGGAGUUGCGGAUGUCAGUAGUCACGUUUCGUAUGCGAUCACCUGCGCCGCCUCCGUGCCUGCCUCUAUCGUGAUCGCGUUGUAGACUACACGAGCGCUACAUGUGGCCUCGUAGAGUGCCCUCUGCUAGUCGACGAAGUUUGGGUCCUCCGCGACCAUGGCUGCCACAGCCUCCCCGCUUGCGAAUUCGUCGUAGAUUUGCCCCUCCACCGCCCGGUAAUGCGCGAGGAGGUUGAGAUUGUAGUGUUCGUCCCAUCGUGCUCCAUCCGAAAUGCCGACAUCGGCAGUGCCGGCUGCACCUCCGUCGUGACGGUGUUGAAGUGAUCAUGCGCCUACUCCAUGGUGAAGCUGGCAUGGACUGGUGUGGGUGCGAGCGCUGACUCGACAUCGGACGCCUCCUCCAUUGCCAGGUCAUCAUCGCCGAACUUCGGCAAGCUCACCAGCAAUCUGGCCUCUAUCUGUCACGCACUACGAUCUAGAGAGUCGGUCGCAAGGCUGGCCAACUCGUGCUUCUGCUCCGUAGAGAGGCCCUCCCACAACAUGCUGGAGUUCGUCGUCAUUCCGUUGGAGGUGCAUGGAGGAGGAAGGGAAGUGGACCUGGUAUGGUGCAGAUCGUGCCGUGAUCGGCCACGUUUAAAUAGCGGGAGCUGGCUAGGCCAAGUGGCGGGUUGUUUCAAUGCGAAUGCAAGGCUCGCCGGCACGCCUAUUUAAUGUCGACGGUUUGACGGAUGGGCAAUCGACUUAAAUGGGUAGAAAGCAGUCUUGUUGCCGGUUACGUCGCUCCGGCAUUGAACUGUUGGGAAACGUAGUAGAAAACAAAAAAUCGUCCUACGAUUAGGAACACUAUGAAGAUGCAUUACAGGUUUAGAUCGGAUCGUUAGCAACUUCGAGUUGCAGCGGAAGAAGAGUUGGUGUAGAUCAUACUUGAAGUCCCUCGAACUGUUUAUGAACGAUCCCUCAAACCGAAGACUAAAAACACGACCUCUUUACAGUUUGCAAGCGUUACGGGCUUCACGAUCCGCAGCGCUUCGCCGUACAGAGCUAAUCAUCGGUGACGAAUUAGAGUGAGAAUAAUAGAACCACAUAGGGCUUCUCUAUUAUGAGGAUUAGAGAGAUCUAGGUAUAGCUCUAAUUAGAUCAACUCCAAUUUAGAAUUAGAACUAGAGAACUAGAGUAGGCUCCAAAACUUGUGUAGACAAAAGGGCCAAAACCUAUAGCAUAUAUAGGUCAGAGGGGAGAGGAGGGGGCGCCACAAGGGGGAGGAAUCCUCCUCCCCUUACGCCGGCCCUAGAGGGGAGGAGGAGUCCCUCCCCCACUCCAAUUCGCCCUCCUCUAGCUUGUCAUACAAGCUAGGGGGUGCCCCAAGUGUUAUUGGGCCCUUGGGUAACUCUCCACCAGUUGGCCUUUUUUAUUAUUUCUUUGACCCGUCGAUAUUAAAUUAAUUCUAAAAUGUUCCUAAUUAAUAUUAUAACAUUCAGUUAUUAAUUUAACAUCUUCAGAAAUAUUUUCCACCUAUAUAUCAAUUCCCAGUAUUACCCGGUAAACCCCAAAACUCUUCCGGUAACUCCGAAAUGCUUUCGGUUUCUCUCAAAACUAUUUCCAAUAUUCUUGAAACUAUUUCGUGAAUAUAUUCUCAUGACUCUUACUCCACUAAUACUCAACAAAUGGUGAUUCCCUUAAUCUUGUGGCCCUGUAGGUUCGGUAAAACAUAGACAUGAAUGAAACUCCUUCCGUUCAAUGGCCAAUAGCAGAACUGUGGACAUCCAUUUUGAUCCCUAUGAAUACACGAAUGAUAUUCGAGUGAACCUUUGGUUAUCAUGUGUUAUUCCCUUUGCUUCCCGAUACUUUACAAAACCCGAGGUGAGAUGUAUCAGUAUCCUCUUGAGUAAUUCUCUCCUCGUUACCGAUUUUGUUCGUCUUUCUCAUUGACAUGUUCCGGCAUCCAUGUGACCUAGUCACCUAUGUCUGGCUAGACGACGAUGGAUGUCGUCACACCGAGAGGGCCCUAGAAUAUCUCUGCAUCACUGAAGGAGCAAAUCCCAAUCUCGAGCCAUCUAGGCCCUUGUCAAACUUCCUGAUGAACCUGUAAGUUGUCGUUAUGAUCACCGUGUUACAGAUGACGUUUGAGCAACCCCAAAGUCCAUCUUACGGUAAGAAGUGACUCGGAUAUUCUCAUGGUCUAAGGAACUAAAUCAUACAUUAGCUCCCUGUGUUAUAUCGAUUGACUUGUGACGAUAGUAUCUCAAAGUAUAACAAAAAAGUUGGGUCAAUUCAAUAUGAUCGUUCUUCUAACGUCAUAUUCUCAAAAUUGUUUUGGGACUAUCAUUACACUUAACAAUAUCCCAAGAUCUAAAAAAACAUGAUCACAAAUAACAAUUGAGCUAGUCCUAGAGGCGAGAUUAGGAAUCAGGUUUUACCAUUUAUCAUUCCACACGUGCUUAAGAGUUUUCCACUGAAUCGCAUAUUCCAGGAUCAUAGUAGUUAUAACAUAGAAUAUAAACGUGAAAAUAAAUAAUACUCCCUCUGUCCCAUAAUAUAAGAACGUUUUUGACAUUAGUGUAGUGUCACAAAUGUUCUUAUAUUAUGGGACGGAGGGAGUAAAAUAUUAUUACCUCUAGGACAUAUUUCCAACAUGAACAUGCACGAAGACCGAGCGAAAGAGGCACAUGCCGCGCUCACAGCUGGCGCGCUGCUCCAUUGCCGGCUGCAGUGACCGGUCGCGUUAGCUUUGGGAUGGUAUGAAUGCAACGGGGGAGUGGAGGUGCGGUUGGGUAGGAGAUGGUUUUCGGUGGGACCGUGUUGUCGGACCGUGCGUGAAGGACGCCCGGAUGCCCGUGAACCUCCCCUGGUUUGCGUCUGAUUUACGAAAAACAAUCGCGCAGAUGCGUCCGUGGACAAAAAUAGGGAUCUAUGUUGGAUGGCAAACUAUGUUCCGGCAGCUUGUCCAUGAUGUUUGGGAGUCAUUUUGAGGGUCCGUGUUAGAGAUGCACUGACUAGUGGUUGGAGACUUUUGCUUACUUCAGAGUCAGCUGGGCAGUACGCAAACUUGUCGGCCGAGUUGCAUGUACACCUUCGACAUGUAACUUGCCACCUGCCCCGACUCAGUUGUGUGUCCACUCUCAACAUAUAAUUGAGUCGGAGUCAGGGCGAGUUACGUGCCAAGGAUGGACAUUUUUUUAGAGAAAAGACAUGCGCCCGACUUUAUAAAUAAAGCCAUAAGGCAGGUAGCAAACACACAGAGGUUCAGACCACACAACCAGCACGACCCCAACCAUGGGUCAGACGAAGGAGAGUUAAAGUUAAAAGGGGUACAUGGCUCCCUAGCCAGUACACGGCACGCAGGCCGGAAAGUUUUACUGCCCGAGAGAAACUAGCCAACGAAGCACGAAACCAACUAAGCAUCUUGCUUUUGUCUGCAUAGAUUAGACGCCGAGGCCCGAACUUUGGAGAUCAGCCCAGACAUCGCAUCUUGGUCCUCCACCUUAGUCAAUGAUUUCCACUGCUGCAAUAGAGCACAUGAUUUAAAUAAGCAAUCAGCAGGUUUAGCCGGAAACACAUGUUCAAUAGUAAAUUUGUUCCUAGUCGUCCAAAGAGACCAACAAAUAGCUCCCAGGCCCACCCAAAAGAUACGUCUAGUAACGCCCGACAGAUUAUUAGCAAGAGCCCGGAGCUCGGAGAACGAAGCAGGGUCCCAGGCUACAUGAAGCCACUCUCUAAUGCAACUCCAGAUCAGCUUAGCCAAGACACAAUGAAAGAAGAUAUGAGCUGUAUCCUCCAAGUCACCACACAAGGCACAAAAUUGUGAACCCGGACCAUUCCUCUUACGAAUUUGGUCAGCCGAAGGCAGCCGGCCCCUAAAAGCUUGCCAUAAGAAAAUCUUAACUUUAGGAGGGAUCCGGGCCUUCCAGACCUGAGAGAAUCUGUUAGUAGGGGUGCCACCAAUAAGCUUAGAAUAAAGCGAUUUAACAGAGAAACGACCAGAAGCAGUGUGCGGCCAAAUCACCGAGUCCAAGUUCGUCGAGAGCAUGGGGAAGAAGGCAGUAAGACGUUGCCAAUCUUCAAACUCUUCAGGCGGAAGGGAUCGGCGAAAGGCCAGGUCCCACCCAUUAGCAGCCAGCUCCGCAAUAGAGAUAUUCGGGUCAGGACAGUACGAGAAUAAGGUGGGGAAGGUCACGGAGAGCAGUGAAUCUCCACACCACCAAUCAAGCCAAAAUCUAAUGGAGGAGCCAUCCCCCACUACAAACUUAACGUGAGCCUGGAAAAGGGGCCUCACUUUCACCAAGGCUUUCCAUAAUUGAGAACCCCCACUCGAGUUAGCAAACAUCGGGCUAGAGAGGAGAAAGUAUUUGGCCUUAAGAAUAGAGAACCAUAAGGACUGAUUCCCACCACUCAUAAUUUUCCACCACCAUUUAAUCAUAAGACAUUGGUUCAUGAUGUUAGUGUUAAUAAUACCCAACCCUCCAAGGUUUUGGGUCGACACAUUAGCUUCCAUUUAACGAAGCGAUAUUUGCGAUGAUUAUCAGCAGCGUUCCAAUAAAAAGCCCCACGGUGCUUAUCAAAGCCUGCAUGAGUACCUCCCGAGAGUAGAUAAAAGCCCAUCAAGAACAUGGGAAGGGAGGUCAAACAUGCAUUAAUCAAAGCCACUUUACCCACGUUGGUAUUAUAUCUGCCACGCCAGGGCAGGACCCUGUUGCCCACCUUAGUUACCACCGGGGCAAACUCCUUCGCAUGAAGCACAUCCGGGGAGAUGGGGAGGCCCAAAUACUUGAAAGGAAAGGAUCCUAGCUUACAGUUAAGAAGACGGGCCACCCUUAAGGCUUCAUUACCAUCCACACCGGUGACAAUAACCUCACUCUUCGCAAAAUUGAUUUUAAGGCCCGACAUGGCUUCGAAACAAAGGAGAAUGAAUUUGAGAUUAGUGAGGCAAGAAUCAUUUAACUCAACCAUUAUAAUGGUGUCGUCCGCAUUUAAGUAACCCCUUCAAGGAUGGACAUAAAAAUUGGGUUGGCCUAGUUGCAUAUCGGCAAUUCAUAUUGGGCUAUUGGCCGUGGCCCAAAAUUCCGAAUCCAGCACCGGAGCUGUGCAAGAUCAAUUAGUAGACUUGGUCAAGGUCAACCAUGGGUCUUCGUAAUGUUCUUUUUGCAAAAUCACGUACUGCCUAUCUGUUUCUCCAGAUCAUCUGAAUCGCACUUUCUGUUGAAAAGUGCGAUCUGAACAAUGUAUGGUUCCUUCCUCGCAAAAUGGAGAUCAACGUCUAUAUACGGUCAGUGGUCAAGCGAGACUAUUCAGCGUCGAAUGCAAACAUCGGAAUUACGAGAAAAACUUUCAGCGGCACCCUUCAAUAGCUCGCCGACCAUUUAGGUUAUUGAUGCCCUUCUUCAGAUACCGCGAUCAGAACAAGUGUUAAGUAAUCCAUCUUUACCAGUACAGCGACUAAAGCACAUAUCAUUAGAUGCCACAGCGCAUAAUGGUCUCUGACGAGAGAAGAUUAGAUGCUAUAACCUCUGCACACCUCGAGCCGUUUUGUAGAGCCCAUGCAUGUUUGGUAUAGAUACCUCAUACCUCAACUAAUCAUGAUUAAAUUAAGAGAUCCGUCGUUACCUUCCCAUGGGAGUGUAAUCUUUUUUGGUAAGAGGUUCAUCUGGCCUUAGCUUAUCCGGAAUGCAAAACUAGUUACUGCCCCACUCACUUAAACUCUUGGAGCUUCGAUACUGCCGAAAGCGCACUGCCCUUUUUAGGUACUGCAUUUGUUCGGUCGUCGAUUAUGUUCUAACCAUCUGUUACUCUGAACUCCUAUAUAAGCUCAUCCAUCACUCUUGGAGCAAGUAACCUCUUCGGAACAUUUCCUGUACUAGCUAACAGUCCAUAUACAGUAUAUGCAUACAGAGGCAUAUGUCACCGGCGGCAACAGCGACGGCCCCGAUAGCACGAAGAAACCUCGGCGCCGCCAGCACCACCGCCGCGGUGAUGUUCUGAGGCGCAUUUUGCGCGCCUUUUGCUGCUGGAACGCUUCGGGGAGCGAGUGAGCCACCGUAUGUACUAGUCGUAUUUUAAUUAUCAGCACAUGAAGUAAGAGCUAGAACCUCUCAACCAAAAUAAGAAUGCCCUAUGUAAUACCCUAUGAUUUUGUACUCAAGAGCUUGUACUAGUUGUUUCCUGAUGUUUGCCCUAUGGUAAAACCUCGAAGGUAUAUUAUUU